GACUGGCCCGAGUGCAGUGGGGCUUACAACUAACUGAUCACAACCAGUUACAGAUUUCUUUGUUCCUUCUCCCUUCCCACUGCUUCACUUGAUUAGCCUUAA
ensembl:Y_RNA Y_RNA Y RNA